GUAUAUUAAAGUUGUUGCGGUUAAAAAGCUCGUAGUUGGAUUUCUGUUGAGGACGGCCGGUCCGCACUAUGUGCGUGUAUCUGGUUCGGCCUUGGCAUCCUCUUGAGGAACGUUCCUGCGCUUGAUUGCGUGGGGCGGUAUUCAAGACUUUUACUUUGAGGAAAUUAGAGUGUUCACGGCAGGCAAGCGCCUUGAAUAUGUUAGCAUGGAAUAAUAAUAUAGGAUCUUGGUUCUAUUUGUUGGUUUCUAGGGCUAAGGUAAUGAUUAAUAGGGAUAAUUGGGGGCAUUUGUAUUAACGCGUCAGAGGUGGAAUUCUUGGAUUGCGUUACGACAAGCUACUGCGAAAGCAUUUGCCAAGGAUGUUUUCAUUGAUCAAGAACGAAAGUAUGGGGAUCGAAGAUGAUUAGAUACCGUCGUAGUCUAUACCAUAAACUAUGCCGACUAGGGAUUGGAGGUCGUUCUUUUUAUGACUCCUUCAGCACCUUAUGAGAAAUCAAAGUCUUUGGGUUCCGGGGGGAGUAUAGUCGCAAGGCUGAAACUUAAAG
rnacentral:rRNA from 1 species